GGAUAGAGGCGCGGCUGAAUGAGUACAUACAGGCUAGUCCUGCCAGGGAUGCUAUGAACCUGUAAGAGGAAAGGAAAGGCCGCCGAAGCAGAAGAUACGGCAUAUCUUCUGCUGGGCAUACGGAUAAGAUCCGUAUGACUGUCGCAUGUGCGGAGAGCUAUCGU
rnacentral:ncRNA from 1 species